AAUGAAAAUUCCCACCAGCCCAGAAUGACUCUGCCUAUAUGUUCGACCCCGAGAGAAUGUUAACUUGCGUCAGCUGCAAGAAAGCAGCUGGGUUUCCCAAGAGCAACCUGUGUGAUUCUGUGGUCCUGGAAGCACAGGCCAGCAGGACCAACAGGAGGAAGAAGCAGGGGCCAGAGUUUGGACAAGGCCAACCUGGCGCCAAGGACAAGGGCUGGCCCGGAGGGAAAAGGCUCUCCUGACUUCCUGCAGAUUUUAGAGAAAGGAGAAUGAAACUUGGACAGGUGAAAGAGCUUCAAACUUAAUUGUAACCCUAAUGAAAAAAAAGUCUGUGUUUCUCUGGCAACUCAAAGAUCCACAUAUGAAAUGGAAGAUAAUUGCAGGUCAUGAUUUCAAGUUCAAUGUUCAGCUUUUGCUUAAUGCCCACAAAAUUAGGACAUAACUUUCUCAUGAAUCAAUUCCCUUCAAUCAAUUAAGCUCUUAGUCAGGGACCCUGGCAGAGAACUCUAACCAGAGCAACGUUGUGCACCGAAGACUUUAUUUCCUACAUAAAGAAGGUGACUUAUUGAAAUGACACUUAAGUUGAG